GAUGAACGCUGGCGGCGUGCCUAAUACAUGCAAGUCGAGCGAAGCGGGGACGGGUGAGUAACAAGUGGAUAACCUCCUAUACGAAUGGGAUAAAUGCGGGAAACAGGAGAUAAAACUGAUAAUUAUAGAUGGUUGCGCGUUGCAUUAGCUAGUUGGUAAGGUAACGGCUUACCAAGGCAACACUGCAUAGCCGACCUGAGAGGUUGAUCUGCCACACUGGAACUGAGCCACGGUCCAGACUCCUACGGGAGGCAGCAGUAGGGAAUCUUCCGCAAUGGUCGAAAGCCUGACCGAGCAACGCCGCGUGAGUGAGGAAGGUCUUCGGAUCGUAAAACUCUGUUAUUAGGGAAGCGGUACCUGAAUAGAAAGCCACGGCUAACUACGUGCCAGCAGCCGCGGUAAUUC
rnacentral:rRNA from 1 species